GGGACGAACGCUGGCGGCGUGCUUAACACAUGCAAGUCGAGCGGAAAGGCCCUUCGGGGUACUCGAGCGGCGAACGGGUGAGUAACACGUGAGUAAUCUGCCCCUAGCUCUGGGAUAGCUCCGGGAAACCGGGAUUAAUACCGGAUACGACCACCUUAGACAUCUUUUGUGGUGGAAAGAAUUUCGGCUAGGGAUGAGCUCGCGGCCUAUCAGCUUGUUGGUGGGGUAACGGCCUACCAAGGCGACGACGGGUAG
rnacentral:rRNA from 1 species